ACGAGAUUAUAGCGUUUUGAAAUU
rnacentral:snRNA from 1 species